GCCCAGACUCCUACGGGAGGCAGCAGUGGGGGAUAUUGCACAAUGGGGGAAACCCUGAUGCAGCGACGCCGCGUGAGCGAUGAAGUAUUUCGGUAUGUAAAGCUCUAUCAGCAGGGAAGAAAAUGACGGUACCUGACUAAGAAGCCCUGGCUAACUACGUGCCAGCAGCCGCGGUAAUACGUAGGGGGCAAGCGUUAUCCGGAUUUACUGGGUGUAAAGGGAGCGUAGACGGUCCUGCAAGCCAGAUGUGAAAGCCCGGGGCUCAACCCCGGGACUGCAUUUGGAACUGUAAGGCUAGAGUGUCGAAGAGGCAGGCGGAAUUCCUAGUGUAGCGGUGAAAUGCGUAGAUAUUAGGAGGAACACCAGUGGCGAAGGCGGCCUGCUGGACGAUGACUGACGUUGAGGCUCGAAAGCGUGGGGAGCAAACAGGAUUAGAUACCCCAGUAC
rnacentral:rRNA from 1 species